GGCGAACGCUGGCGGUGUGCUUAACACAUGCAAGUCGAACGGAAAGGCCCUUUCGGGGGUACACGAUUGGCGAACGGGCGAGUAACACGUGAGUAACCUGCCUUCACCUCUGGUAUAACUGUCGGAAACGGUUGCUAAUACUGGCCAUGUGCUUGCACGGCAUCUUGUGGGUUGGAAAGAUUUUUUCUGGUUGGGGAUGGACUCGCGGCCCAUCAGCUUGUUGGUGUGGUAGUGGCUCACCAAGGCUUCGACGGGUAGCCGGCCUGGGAGGGCGAGCGGCCACAUUGGGUCUGGGAUACGGCCCAAACUCCUACGGGAGGCAGCAGUGGGGAAUAUUGCACAGUGGACGGAAGUCUGAUGCAGCAACGCCGCGUGCGGGAUGACGGCCUUCGGGUUGUAAACCGCUUUCAAUUGUGACGAAGCUUGUUUGUGACGGUAGCAGUAGAAGAAGCACCGGCUAACUACGUG
rnacentral:rRNA from 1 species